rnacentral:lncRNA from 1 species
GUCGUGCGUUUCGUUAAUUUUAGCCUUUAGAAAUAAAGUAUUUUAAAAAAAAAUAGCAAUACAAUAUAAGUGACAUAUCAUAGUAUAUAUUGAAGCAAAAUAUCAUGAGAAAUAUUAAAGGACUUACCUUAAAAUUGUAAUUGUUAGUCUGUCUAACCUCGGUUGUUCAAGGUGUGCUCGACUCGAACGCGUCAACGUCCGGUUUCAUUUGUAUCGGGGUUAUACGGGGUG